UACGAAGGGGGCUAGCGUUGCUCGGAAUUACUGGGCGUAAAGGGCGCGUAGGCGGACAGUUUAGUCAGAGGUGAAAGCCCAGGGCUCAACCUUGGAAUUGCCUUUGAUACUGGCUGUCUUGAGUUCGGGAGAGGUGAGUGGAAUGCCGAGUGUAGAGGUGAAAUUCGUAGAUAUUCGGCGGAACACCAGUGGCGAAGGCGACUCACUGGCCCGAUACUGACGCUGAGGCGCGAAAGCGUGGGGAGCAAACAGGAUUAGAUACCCUGGUAGUCCACGCUGUAAACGAUGAGUGCUAGUUGUCGGCAUGCAUGCAUGUCGGUGACGCAGCUAACGCAUUAAGCACUCCGCCUGGGGAGUACGGUCGCAAGAUUAAA
rnacentral:rRNA from 1 species